AGUCUCUUGUGUUUUAAUAAGAGAUGUUUUCUGCUCAAUGUUUGUUAAAUAGCCGCGGUAAUUUGACCGUGCGAAGGUAGCAUAAUCAUUUGCCUCAUAAUUGGAGGCUGGAAUGAAUGGGAUUACGAAAGUUUAGCUGUCUUAGCUUUUUUAUUAGAAAUUGUAUUUAAUGUGAAGAUACAUUACUGUUAAAAUAAGACAAGAAGACCCUUUUGAGCUUUACUUUUUAUUAACUUUUUGUUGAUUGUUAGUUUGGUUGGGGCGAUCAAGGAAGAGAUUUUUAUCUUCCUUUAUUUAUGUUGAACCAUGGAUUUUGGGUUAUAGAUUGAGUUACCAAAGGGAUAACAGCGUAAUUUUUUUUUAGAGUUCUUAUUAAAAAAAAAGAUUGCGACCUCGAUGUUGACUUAUAGUUUCCUUUAGGUGCAGUAGCUUUAAGGGUAGGUCUGUUCGACCUUUAAUACUUU
rnacentral:rRNA from 1 species